GCGCUGGAAAAGAUACCAACAGGGAUUGCCCCUAGUAACGGCGAGUGAAGCGGCAACAGCUCAAAUUUGAAAUCUGGCGUCUUUGGCGUCCGAGUUGUAAUUUGCAGAGGGCGCUUUGGCAUCGGCAGCGGUUCAAGUUCCUUGGAACAGGACGUCACAGAGGGUGAGAAUCCCGUACGUGAUCGCUAGCCUUUACCGUGUAAAGCCCCUUCGACGAGUCGAGUUGUUUGGGAAUGCAGCUCUAAAUGGGAGGUAAAUUUCUUCUAAAGCUAAAUACUGGCCAGAGACCGAUAGCGCACAAGUAGAGUGAUCGAAAGAUGAAAAGCACUUUGGAAAGAGAGUUAAAAAGCACGUGAAAUUGUUGAAAGGGAAGCGCUUGCAGCCAGACUUGCCUGUAGUUGCUCAUCCGGGUUUUUACCCGGUGCACUCUUCUAUAGGCAGGCCAGCAUCAGUUUGGGCGGUUGGAUAAAGGUCUCUGUCAUGUACCUCUCUUCGGGGAGAACUUAUAGGGGAGACGACAUGCAACCAGCCUGGACUGAGGUCCGCGCAUCUGCUAGGAUGCUGGCGUAAUGGCUGUAAGCGGCCCGUCUUGAAACACGGACCAAGGAGUCUAACAUCUAUGCGAGUGUUUGGGUGUCAAGCCCGAACGCGUAAUGAAAGUGAACGGAGGUGGGAACCUUUCGGGGUGCACCAUCGACCGAUCCUGAUGUCUUCGGAUGGAUUUGAGUAAGAGCAUAGCUGUUGGGACCCGAAAGAUGGUGAACUAUGCUUGAAUAGGGUGAAGCCAGAGGAAACUCUGGUGGAGGCUCGCAGCGGUUCUGACGUGCAAAUCGAUCGUCAAAUUUGGGCAUAGGGGCGAAAGACUAAUCGAACUAUCUAGUAGCUGGUUCCUGCC
rnacentral:rRNA from 1 species